AAGAUUUAUGUUUUCUUUGCUGUUUGUUUCUGUAAUGUUUGGGUACUUUUGGAUUUAAAUAAUUUAUUAGUAUGUCUGUGUACAUGAUUGGCAGCUGAGCACAUGCCACCAGUACCCAUGUGUGGAGGUCAGAAGACAUCCUUCCACCCUCAGUUGGGUUCCAGGGAUCCAGCUCUGGUCUCCAGAUUGGUGUGGUGCUCUUGCCUGCUGGUCUGUCUUGAAGCCUGGUUUGUGUUUAAUAAGUACAUAUUUUAAAACAAGGAAAACACAGAAACUUUACAAUUAUAUUAUAGAAAUAUUGACUCUUUGCUUCCAUUGAACAGGUGUGAGUCAUUCUAUCCUAAAGGAAGUUGCUGAACAAUUUCUCAACAUUAGGGGUGGCCUUGGUUUAGCUGGUGCAAAAGCCAAAUACCGCGGAGGUGAAAUUAGAGAGCAGAAUGGAGACAAUCUGGUCCAUGCUGCUAUUGUAGCAGAAAGUGCUGCCAUUGGAAAUGCAGAAGCAAAUGCAUUUAGUGUACUUCAGCAUCUUCUUGGUGCUGGACCACAUAUCAAAAGGGGCAACAACACCACCAGCCUCCUGAGCCAGAGUGUUGCCAAAGGAAGUCAACAGCCUUUUGAUGUUUCUGCAUUUAAUGCCAGUUACUCAGAUUCUGGGCUCUUUGGAAUUUACACUGUCUCCCAGGCUGCUGCGGCUGGAGAU
rnacentral:lncRNA from 1 species